CUAGUUGGAAAAGGGGACUUGAAGCUAAGUUUACAUGGCACUUUAAGACUGAGAACAUAUCAAUUGUUCAUAAUCAGGAAUAUGGUAGAGGGAGAGCAGGUGUAGAUGAUGGGACGGGAAAGUGCUGAAACCAGCCCAGCAGACCUGUGAGUCGCCUCUGGUUCUCACGCAGCAGUGUGUGUGUGCUCACAGGGAUGUUCCACCCCUGGUUCUCAUGCAGUAGUGUGGGAGAGUGCUGAAGCCGGCCCAGCAUGCCUCUUAGUUGCCUCUGGAAUUCUCAAUGUGUGGUCCCUAGGCCAACAGCAUCAGCACAUCUUGCCCUCACCAGACCUACUGAAUCCGAAACUCCCAGCGCAAGGCCCAGCAGUCUUCAACAAGCCCUCCAGGGGUCUUUGGUGCAUGCUCAAGUUUGAGAACCAUAGGCUUUGCCACGGUUAAAAAGAUGUUUUAAUGGACUGGUCUCCUCCUAAGCUCUGAGGUGCUCUCAUAUUCCCUCCAUAAGUAAAGAGAUUUUUUUUGUAUAA
rnacentral:lncRNA from 10 species